rnacentral:rRNA from 1 species
AUUGAACGCUGGCGGCAUGCCUUACACAUGCAAGUCGAACGGUAACGCGGGGGCAACCCUGGCGACGAGUGGCGAACGGGUGAGUAAUACAUCGGAACAUAUCCAGUAGCGGGGGAUAACCUAUCGAAAGAUUGGCUAAUACCGCAUACGAUCUACGGAUGAAAGCGGGGGACCGCAAGGCCGCGCACCAUUGGAGUGGCCGAUGUCAGAUUAGCUAGUUGAUGGGGUAAAAGCCUAACAAGGCGACGAUCUGUAGCUGGUCUGAGAGGACGAUCAGCCACACUGGAACUGAGACACGGUCCAGACUCCUACGGAAGGCAGCAGUGGGGAAUGUUGGACAAUGGGCGCAAGCCUGAUCCAGCCAUGCCGCGUGAGUGAAGAAGGCCUUCGGGUUGUAAAGCUCUUUCGGUGAAGACGAAACGGUUAGCGUUAAUAACGCUGACUAAUGACGGUACUCACAGAAGAAGCACCGGCCAACUACGUGCCAGCAGCCGCCGUAA